rnacentral:lncRNA from 7 species
CUGGGCUCCGAGCGCCGGCCGCCCGCCCGCACACCCCCUCCCCGGCCGGCCGGCCGGCCGCGCGCACGGCGAACAUGGCGGCGGCGGUGGGGCGGGACGCGCUACCUGAGCACUGGUCCUACGGCGUCUGCAGGGACGGCCGCGUCUUCUUCAUCGACGACCUGACCCGCAGCACCACCUGGCUGCACCCGCGCACCGGGGAGCCCGUCAACUCGGGACACAUGAUCCGCUCCGACCUGCCCCGCGGCUGGGAGGAGGGCUUCUCGGAGGAGGGCGCCAGCUACUUCAUCGAGUGAGUGCUGCGGCCUGGGGGUGCGAGCCGCCUCCGCGCGGGGGGGCGAGGGAGGGCGCGGGAUGGGGAAAGUUGGGCUCGGGGCUGCGGCGGCUCUUUCAGCGCGGCCGGCAACAGGUUUCCCCCGGGCGGCUGCUUGGUUGGUUGGUUGGCUUUUGUUGUUGUUGUUUUUUUUUUUCCUUUCCUAUCUUCCUGGUACUGAAAAGCGCGGCUCGCGGCAGGUGGAGCGCUAACCGGCCCCGCGCCGGCUGCGUGGGCGCUGCGUGUGUGGGCGCGGGACGGGCGGCGUUGGCGGCCCGGCCUGAGGGCGCUGCUUCUGCGAGGGGCUCCGCGCCGUGUGAGCGCCAACUUAGCGCCCGGUGCGGCGGGAGCGGCGCGCGCGGCUCUGCGCCUAUGUGGCUCGUGAUGAAGAGGCCCCCCCGUGCCCGCAUGGCUGACGCAGAGAGCCCCGGCGGCGCUGGGCGGUGGGUUUGGUCCCAGCUGCUUUGUGUGGAAGGCUUUUUGUGCCUUGUUUGUCAGACAGCUGCAGAACUUUCCAUUUCUGACCCGUUGAACUACACUUGUGCUCAAUGCGUUGUCCUAACUGGUGUUAAUAGCGUUCCUCAGCUUGAGCUGGAGUUGCUUCAGAAAACGAAGCGUGUAUUGCUGAAGGGAGCGCGUAUUUCACACAGCGGUCACGUAAACUUGGCCAUCCUUUAG